CAGUAGCCGCGGGAAUACGUAGGUGGCAAGCGUUGUCCGGAAUUAUUGGGCGUAAAGGGCUCGCAGGCGGUUUCCUAAGUCUGAUGUGAAAGCCCCCGGCUCAACCGGGGAGGGUCAUUGGAAACUGGGAAACUUGAGUGCAGAAGAGGAGAGUGGAAUUCCACGUGUAGCGGUGAAAUGCGUAGAGAUGUGGAGGAACACCAGUGGCGAAGGCGACUCUCUGGUCUGUAACUGACGCUGAGGAGCGAAAGCGUGGGGAGCGAACAGGAUUAGAUACCCCUGUAGUCCCUGUCUCUUAUAC
rnacentral:rRNA from 1 species